GGUUGACCUCGGAUCAGGUAGGAAUACCCGCUGAACUUAAGCAUAUCAAUAGG
rnacentral:rRNA from 1 species